UACGGGGGGGGCAAGCGUUGUUCGGAAUUACUGGGCGUAAAGGGUUCGUAGGUGGCUUGUUAAGUCAGACGUGAAAUCCCUCGGCUUAACCGGGGAACUGCGUCUGAGACUGAUGAGCUCGAGUGCAGGAGAGGAACGCGGAAUUCCGGGUGGAGCGGUGAAAUGCGUAGAGAUCCGGAGGAACACCGACGGCGUAGGCAGCGCCCUAGACGAGACCUGACGCUCAGGCACGAAAGCGCGGGGAGCAAACAGG
rnacentral:rRNA from 1 species